rnacentral:rRNA from 1 species
GAUGAACGCUGACAGAAUGCUUAACACAUGCAAGUCAACCUGAACUUCGGUUUGGGUGGCGGUCGGGUGAGUAACGCGUAAGGAACUUUCCUCACAGAUAGGGACAACAUUUGGAAACGAAUGCUAAUACCUGAUAUUAUGAUUUUAGGGCAUCCUUGGUUUAUGACAGCUAUAUGCGCUGUGAGAGAGCUUUGCGUCCCAUUAGCUAGUUGGAGAGGUAACGGCUCACCAAGGAGAUGAUGGGUAGCCAGCCUGAGAGGGUGAUCGGCCACAAGGGGACGGAGACACGGCCCUUACUCCUACGUGAGGCAGGAGUGGGGAAUAUUGGACGAAGGACCAAGAGUCUGAUCAAGCAAUUCUGUGUGGACGAUGAAGUUUUUCGGAAUGUAAAAUGCUUUCAGUUGGGAAGAAAAUAAUGACGGUACCAGCAGAAGAAGUGACGGCUAAAUACGUG